GACGAACGCUGGCGGCGUGCUUAACACAUGCAAGUCGAACGGAAAGGCCCUGCUUUUGUGGGGUGCUCGAGUGGCGAACGGGUGAGUAACACGUGAGUAACCUGCCCUUGACUUUGGGAUAACUUCAGGAAACUGGGGCUAAUACCGGAUAGGAGCUCCUGCUGCAUGGUGGGGGUUGGAAAGUUUCGGCGGUUGGGGAUGGACUCGCGGCUUAUCAGCUUGUUGGUGGGGUAGUGGCUUACCAAGGCUUUGACGGGUAGCCGGCCUGAGAGGGUGACCGGCCACAUUGGGACUGAGAUACGGCCCAGACUCCUACGGGAGGCAGCAGUGGGGAAUAUUGCACAAUGGGCGGAAGCCUGAUGCAGCAACGCCGCGUGCGGGAUGACGGCCUUCGGGUUGUAAACCGCUUUCGCCUGUGACGAAGCGUGAGUGACGGUAAUGGGUAAAGAAGCACCGGCUAACUACGUGCCAGCAGCCGCGGUGAUACGUAGGGUGCGAGCGUUGUCCGGAUUUAUUGGGCGUAAAGGGCUCGUAGGUGGUUGAUCGCGUCGGAAGUGUAAUCUUGGGGCUUAACCCUGAGCGUGCUUUCGAUACGGGUUGACUUGAGGAAGGUAGGGGAGAAUGGAAUUCCUGGUGGAGCGGUGGAAUGCGCAGAUAUCAGGAGGAACACCAGUGGCGAAGGCGGUUCUCUGGGCCUUUCCUGACGCUGAGGAGCGAAAGCGUGGGGAGCGAACAGGCUUAGAUACCCUGGUAGUCCACGCUGUAAACGGUGGGUACUAGGUGUGGGGUCCAUUCCACGGGUUCCGUGCCGUAGCUAACGCUUUAAGUACCCCGCCUGGGGAGUACGGCCGCAAGGCUAAAACUCAAAGGAAUUGACGGGGCCCCGCACAAGCGGCGGAGCAUGCAGAUUAAUUCGAUGCAACGCGUAGAACCUUACCUGGGUUUGACAUGGAUCGGGAGCGCUCAGAGAUGGGUGUGCCUCUUUUGGGGUCGGUUCACAGGUGGUGCAUGGCUGUCGUCAGCUCGUGUCGUGAGAUGUUGGGUUAAGUCCCGCAACGAGCGCAACCCUUGUUCACUGUUGCCAGCACGUUAUGGUGGGGACUCAGUGGAGACCGCCGGGGUCAACUCGGAGGAAGGUGGGGAUGACGUCAAGUCAUCAUGCCCCUUAUGUCCAGGGCUUCACGCAUGCUACAAUGGCUGGUACAGAGAGUGGCGAGCCUGUGAGGGUGAGCGAAUCUCGGAAAGCCGGUCUCAGUUCGGAUUGGGGUCUGCAACUCGACCUCAUGAAGUCGGAGUCGCUAGUAAUCGCAGAUCAGCAACGCUGCGGUGAAUACGUUCCCGGG
rnacentral:rRNA from 1 species